CAGACAUGGUCUCCAAAGUCCAACCGCCAAGGACCCAGAUAAGAGACAGGAGGCUUAAUGGCUGCCUUAGAAGCAGUUGGGGCUGGAUCAGCCCUUGAUAUCUAAACAAUAGCAAGUAUAAAUUUACAUUUCCUUUUGAUAAGUAUGAAAAUGUUCCCACCCACUCUGGCCUGAUUCUUUAGGUCCUUCCAGGUGAGAAAGAAUGUCUGUCGCAACCUGUUAUUCAGGUUACGGAGCUGUGGGCCAAAGGCACAGGAAGAAAGGUCCCACUGCCUUUGCACGCUGGCUCCACCCGCCCAGGAGCUGGGACGUUGGUUUCUUCCUGUUUCCUGGAGUCCUCUAUACUCACAUGCCUUUGGACUCAACCAUGACUUGUCCCAGAACCAAGACAGCUGGAGAGAGGAUUACUCCCUGUCCAGGCGAGGAGGGUAUAGGAAAGCAUCUUGAUGGAACAGGAGGAAGCUGAAGCCUGGAGGGGGUGAGUCUCACAGCUGUGGUAGCAGAGCCGAGAGUCACACCUCAGCUGCAGACAGCAGACGGAUGACAACUGUGGCAGCUGGUGGGCCUGAGGCUGACCCACGCUCACCAGAUUCCAACAGGGAAGGGCCUAGGUCCAAGUGAGUUCUGUGUGCCUAGAAGUAAGGCUGAACUCUUGAAAAACUAGGAACAAAAGGAUAAUUCUUCACCGAGGAAGGGUCCUAUCCCCAGGCCACUGAGGGCUCACAUUUUCCUUCAUUCGAGCAUUGAGCUUUGGGCCAGGGAUGUGCAGCCACUCCGUGACCCCCAUCCAUGGCCUCAGGAAGUCAGCACGGUGCUUCUUCUGGCCAAGAACAGAAGAGGGCUCAGACUCUUUCCCACCAGUCUCUUGGGGCUGGCCCAUGAGCUCUGUCAUCCCUAGAGUGGGGCCUUCUCUGUGUGGGGCAAGGGGCUGGGUGGACUUGGAGCUGGGGCCUCUUCAUGGCAUUAGCUUUUUUGGGACCAGAGGAAACAUGGCAGAGGAAAGAGCAUGUACAGAGGCUCAGAGGAGAGGCAGAAUGGGAAACUCUGAAGGUAGAGACCAAAGUGAAGGAGGGAAGGGGGACUGUUCAUUAGGGCCCUAAGGACUGGGUUAAUGUAAUGACCGUGGGCUUUGUUCUGAGGUGAUGGGGGAGCUACAGGGAGAAUUAAACGGGGCCAGUGAUAAAACCUCAGCUCAGCGUGGAGACAGUGGUACCUCCUCCAAGAAGCCUUCCCCGGCCUCUGGCUCCUCCAUUACGGAAUCCCUCCAUUAAGGAAUCACCUUGUCAUGCCUCAUGCUCAGCCUAAUGUGGGGGCCUGAGAGCCUUCUUCACGCACGGCCCAGACGCUAGCACCAUGGUACAUAGUAGGUGUGCAGAAACCAAACAGGUUUCUUUCUGUUUGGGAAAGAAACUAAGGGAGAAAAGGCCCCAGACACACCAUGGAUGCUCCUUCCAUCCGAGGGGUGUCUUCCCUGCGCCCCACGGUCUUCUCCAAAGUGAACUCCCUCUAGAGAGGACAGGUUCAGACUCUAGCCUCUUCUGGCUAAAUGCAAGCUCAGGCCAUUUUCCUCGUCAGCCCUGGAAGUCCUGCGGACUUAAAGACAUCUCCACAAAAAAAAAAAAAAAAAAAAAAAAGACA